CGGUGGGUGCUAGUUGUGGGCCACAUUCCACGUGGUCCGUGACGAAGUUAACACAUUAUGCACCCCGCCUGGGGAGUACGGUCGCAAGACUAAAACUCAAAGGAAUUGACGGGGGCCCGCACAAGCGGCGGAGCAUGCGGAUUAAUUCGAUGCAACGCGAAGAACCUUACCAAGGCUUGACAUAUAGAGGAAACGUGCAGAAAUGUACGCCCCGCAAGGUCUCUAUACAGGUGGUGCAUGGUUGUCGUCAGCUCGUGUCGUGAGAUGUUGGGUUAAGUCCCGCAACGAGCGCAACCCUCGUCCUAUGUUGCCAGCACGUAAUGGUGGGAACUCAUGGGAGACUGCCGGGGUCAACUCGGAGGAAGGUGGGGAUGACGUCAAAUCAUCAUGCCCCUUAUGUCUUGGGCUUCACGCAUGCUACAAUGGCCAGUACAAAGGGCUGCAAUACCGUAAGGUGGAGCGAAUCCCAAAAAGCUGGUCUCAGUUCGGAUUGAGGUCUGCAACUCGACCUCAUGAAGUCGGAGUCGCUAGUAAUCGCAGACCAGCAACGCUGCGGUGAAUACGUUCCCGGGCCUUGUACACACCGCCCGUCAAGUCACGAAAGUCGGUAACACCCGAAGC
rnacentral:rRNA from 1 species